UGAACGCUAGCGGGAGGCUUAACACAUGCAAGUCGAGGGGUAUAGUAGCAAUACUAGAGACCGGCGGACGGGUGCGUAACGCGUAUGCAACCUGCCUUAUACCGGGGGAUAGCCCGUGGAAACGCGGAUUAACACCCCAUAUGACAUCCUAUUCGCAUGGGAAUGAUGUUAAAACUGAGGUGGUAUAAGAUGGGCAUGCGUCUGAUUAGCUGGUUGGUAAGGUAACGGCUUACCAAGGCGACGAUCAGUAGGGGUUCUGAGAGGAUAAUCCCCCACACUGGUACUGAGACACGGACCAGACUCCUACGGGAGGCAGCAGUGGGGAAUAUUGGGCAAUGGAGGGAACUCUGACCCAGCGACGCCGCGUGCGGGAUGAAGGCCUCGGUUGUAACCGCUUCAGCAGGAGAAGCGAAAGUGACGGUACUUGCAGAAGAAGCACCGGCGUAACUAUGUGCCAGCAGCCGCGGUAAUCU
rnacentral:rRNA from 1 species